UCCAGACAUGCCUUGUAUUCUAGUGGAUGGACCACCACUCCUACCCCCUCCUCCUCUUACAGACUGUGCGUUUACCCUGUUUACAAAAGUUUAGGUCUUAGCCAGUCAGGAUCAGUUUAGAUUGUGCAGUCCAACCCUAGAUAAGGGAAGGACACAGGGACAGGAACUGCAUUAGGGAUAAAAACCACUUCUCUCCUUUGUUCAGUAUGCUCUUGCAAUCAUGACUGACGCAGGCAGCACCCUUCUGCAGAAGCGAAUUUCCCUGCUGAGAAAAAUUUUGUGGAAGGGUCUCAGAUCACCUCUCCUGGGGAGAUGCAUCCUGCUGCCUCAUUGUGGUGGCCUCAGGGGUAAGGAAUCGAGACCCACCCAGCAUGACAAAUAAACAUGGAUCCUUAGCAACAUGGGAAGAAAAGGCCUACAGAUACCAGGGUGACCAGGUAACUCUGUGCACAGACCAAGAGGCCCAUAAGUGGGUAAAUGUUCCUAAGGACAAAGAUCUCUAUAAAUCUGCAGAGUGUAUAUCUGUAAGAAUAGAAGACUGAUUCCUCGCUCACAUCUUCGCUGACCUAAUAACUACUCUGGCUUCCAAGAUGCUUCAAAAACUAAACUCAGCAAAAAGUGCAGACCAAAUAUGUGGCAGAAGUUGAACUGAGCUCGUUAAGUUUCAUAUUAUGUAUAUCCUUUAAUAUAGCCUUUUAAUGCCAAUAAGUGUGUCAUGCAUAGAUGAAAUGCUAAACUGUCUUAUGGCUUAGCAGUAUUGGUCUUGGUCUCAGAUGGGUAUUUAGAACUCAGCCUCUCUUAAGACUUUUCUUUUCUGCCAAAACCUGCUUAGUCACCAUCUAGGGUACCCCAAGGUUUUGUUGCUGUGCCCAUACAAAUUUACUUGAGAAGGUAUUCGCUGUCCUAGGCAAAGAGCUAAGUAACAAUUAAUCUAUUUCUGAGGAAAAGAACACAUAAGUUAGCCAUAUAGUGUCAGCAUGUCUGAGGAAAAUGCUUUUAAUCAAAUAAUACUGAAAUGUAUAAUAAGAAAUAUGAUGAGAAGAGACUGGGAUUCCACUAAGAUGCUUCCCACCCAUCAAAUUAUUUCUAAAAUAUGAUGAUAUACCAAAGUGCUUUAUGCUUCAAUCACAGAAACAAAUUCAAGCUUAGACCCAGGCUUAAGGAUGGUCCAAAGAUUAUGCCACUAGCCACAUGUAAAGUUAAAUAAAAGUACAAAUCCUGUUUCUCAGUUGCAUGAGCUAUGUUUCCAAUACUCAAUAGUCACAUGUAGCUAAUAGCUACCAUAUUAGUGCAGAUAUAGAACAUUUUGUCAUCACAGAAAGUUCUAUUGGGCAGCACUGGUCCAAACCAUGGAAAGCCCCUGUGGUUUACUCCAUUUUUUCAAUUGUUACUGGUCCCAGGGAAGCAUAAAGAAAUAUGAACUUGUGCUGUAACCUCAGAACUACCUUGGACUUCCAGCUGACCCCAAACUGGAGCUCUGAGCUUUCCCAAUCUGGAUCUGACUCAGGAUAGACCCACAUUAACCAUCAGAGUUUAGGAGGAGGAGGAAGCAACACUUACCUCAAAUGACAAAGUGAUGCUUGGGAAAGUCCUUUUAAGACUAUGAAAUCCUGUGCAAAAAUAUUCUUUCUAUUUUCCUAAGCAAUUGCCUUCACUUUGUUGCGGGGCUCUCCCUAGAUUAUUAUAUUCAUUGCUGGACUCUAGAGCUUGAGAUAAAUGCAGAAAAUUUGGAGGCAGUUCAGAGGAGACACUCAAAGAUGAUGAAAGGUUUGAGAAAUAAAAUUCUGUGGCUAAAAAAACAGAAGUCAUCCAUCCCGGAAGAAAAUUGUAAGAUUAUCUUCAAGCAUAAGCAUACAUAUUAUAUAGAGGAUUAUGUCCAGCUACUUUGAAAAGCUGCAGACAGAAGAAUUAAAUUAAAUUAAAUUAUAUUAAAUUAAAUUAACAACAUAAAAGUAAAUUUCCUGAUAAUGAUGGCUGCGCUGAAACAGGCUAUCAAAGAAGUUUAAGAAAUCUUCUCUGGAUGUAUUUGAAAGCAGAAAAGUUUCCAUGUAAACAUUUUCCAGUAAUGACUCCUUCUGAGGAAAGCAGUCAGAUAUAAUUCAUUAUGUAUACAUUCUUAUGUUUUGUAACAUGUACAAAUCUGGUCCCAGCUUGUAGGCCUAGGGAUUGCUUCUGGCUCCUAUCAUGCCACCUAUUGUCAGGCAUGUGGCUACUUAUGAGAGCCCUAUUCAACAAAGAUACUGUAUUCUCAGAGUAAUUAUAUUAGAAAAUAAGGUCAUUGUUUCCCCAGAACCCACUUCUCCUUUCCUUAUAACAUAUCCCAUUAUUUUUCUUGUGGUACCGUCCUUCUCCUAUCCUAUACAGCCCUGGUCUCGUUAAUCAGAGCAUCCAUUCUCCCUGGCCACAGUGAUUGGCUCAGAAGUAAAAAGUAACCCAAGUCAAUCCAGUACGGCUCGACUCCAGGACUUUUUUGUUGUUGUUGUUCAAACUGUUGGGAGCAGAUAAUCACUCUCUGUGACAUAUUUGGAAAUAGGAGAUUUAAGCCUGGUUCUAGUGGUCUGGGUUAGGUUGCCAUUACAUGCAGAGUACAACAAAGUGAUCCUGUAGGAACGUCUGUUAAAUUUAUCCAGAGCAAAAGCAUUGGUUCUCCUGCCAGGAAGCAAGUAGCUAGAGAUGGUGAGCAACCUGCUAAGCCACAAAGCUAGAGAAGGGGAGAGAAGGAAAGAAGGAAAAGAAGUCCACUCUUUGGUACACAGCCUUUCUCAAUUCAUCACCUUCUUUACAGCACCAUGCUGUCUCUCCUUCAAUGGUCCUUGGCCCUACCACAGUUCUUUGGGACAAAUAAACAAUCUUCUCCUAAACAGCUUCCUCUGUCCCUAAUUCAGUUAUCACUGCUCCAUGCUUUCCCUCUGCUAAACAUUUACUCAAACUUCUCAACCACUGAUGUCCUCUUUCCUAUUUGUCCUUCGAGGUUUUGUUUGUU